rnacentral:lncRNA from 1 species
UGAUGAAGCUCUCAUGUCAUCAGCUUUUGUUCGUAAAUUGUAAAACUUUAAAGUGCUUGUAUGUUAGCAGCAAAUACCAACUUUGUUUAGCUCUAAUAAUAAUUAAAUUUGUAAUGAUAAAAAUAAUAAUAUGUUAAAUAUAAAAAUGAAUAAAUGUAUGCAUCACUUUCACUUAAACACUCGUUAAGAAAUUGUUUAAUAAGUAUCCCUUGUCUUCCUUUCCCAUCUCUUUGAAGUCUCCCGACCAUCUCUAUAUGCAGCAUAAAUGAUGAGCAGCUCCCCAUCAACGAGGACCUGGGUCCUCAAAGGCCAACUCAAAAACAACAAUCUCUACGUCUAUGGAGCCUGGACUGCAGAAACUGAGAAACCUCCAACUCCAAGCUCCCUGGUUCGGUGCAACUUGGACUUUCUGGGAAGGGCAUUAAAUACCCAACCACCAUAUUUAUUUUGGCCACUCCACUCCAGUAAUCAUUUGACUCUGGCAGCCAAACCAAUACGAAAGUCAAGUUGAUGGGAUGGGGGUCAAAAUUCAUGCACCAAGCAAUCUACGCUGCUAAACCCAAGACCAUUCUUCAGCUUGAUGAGCCCAAUGACCAGAGCCAAUGCUGUACGACUAGCUCCAUGAAACCCAAAAUGCAGCAAGAAACUCAUUGUAACGCCCCACUUUUGUUGUGUUUAGAUUGUUAAAGUAUGUUAAAUAAUUUAAUUUGGUAUGUGGUUAAGUGUCUAAAUGUUUGUUUUAGGUCUUGAGUUUAAUUCUUUUAUUUUGGAUUUUUUUUUAUUAAUUUUGAUAUUAUGUUAAGCUUGACUUUUUGGGCUUAUCUUUUAUUUUUAUUAGAUUGUUGAUAAGUAUAAGCUUACUGGUAUACUAAACCGUCCAUUAUCCUCUCUCCCCCUUUCACGUUUUUUAUCCCUGUUAUUGUUUUCUAUUUGGUUCUUACCUUUUUUCUUUUUUCUUUUUUUCUCUUUGAGCUUUUUCCUUUUCUUUUGCUUUGAAUCUCCGAUUUCGAUUAUAAUCCAAGGAUAGCGUAAGUUUUGUUAAAUUAUUUUGUUUUUAUUUUAGUGUUAAUUUAACUGAUAAAAUUUUAUACUAUUCAAAUGAUGAAAUUAUAUUUUUAUUAUUAUAAAAACUAAAAUUUAAUUUCAACCUUUCUAAAAAUAUUUUCUACCGUACCGUUCAUAAACAUGGCAUCAUAAGUCGAACAAAAUUUAUAUAAAUUUAAAAAAAAUUUAAACACGGUUAUGGAAUCAGAUUAUGCUUCCACGUGACAUUGAGGAAUUGUAUGUUCGUAACUGCUCUUUAUGUUGUCAUGAAAACUACCCGCUUUUCUCCAGGUUUGUCCUAACCUCUCUUACAUAUCUUGAAAUAAGGGAUGAAAAAAUUAUGAAAAAAUUGUUCUCUCCAAACUGCGUGCCGUUAAAUUUGGAAGUGCUUGAGGUUUCAUUACGUGUCCAACUGGAGGAAAUAAUAGCAUUAGAUUUUGAAUGGGACGGAAGAGGAAUGCCUACCAUGGAAUUUUGCCUUCUAAAAUUAAACAUACUUACCUGAAUUGAAGAGUAUUUGCAAUGUUGAUGCAGUGGUGGUUUGUGAAUCUCUUAAAUGGAUUGACGUAAUAGAUUGUCGGAAAAUAAAAAGUAUUUAGUCUUCCCCAAAUCUGAUCAUCUUCACCGGCUCUCUCAUUUUCUAUUUAUGUAGCGGGAGAGGAGUGACAUUGGCAUUACUUAUAUUUUCUUGUUUCUAGGCAACUUUGAUGAAUGCAAUUGCAAGCUGUAUUAUAUAUUUGAACCAAACCUCAUUUGUAAUAAGCUUUGGUUAUUGUAUUUUGAUGCUUGUUUCUGGUGUCUUCCUUUUCCAUUCAAUACUUUUCCUUCAUAAUAUUCUAUAUCAACAAAACGCUAUACAUGUUGGAAAAAUUAUGAUAUUUCAAAGGAAUCAAAUCUCAUAUUCUUAAACAAAGAUUUUGAGACAUUUGUUUAUAAAUCUUUAUACUUCGUGAGUUAGAGGUAAUCAAGUUGAGAAGGUAGAUUAUUGUGCAUUAGAUUCAAAAAGUUAUUGUAAUGGAUUUUUGAAUCUUCUAGUUUUUAAGAAUAUAUUUUUUUUAGAAUUUUUAGAGUCCAAGAAAAAUAAAAUUUUUAGCUAAUAAAACUUAUAUUUAUCCAAGUUAUAAAUAACUUAAUCCAUUGAAAUUAUUUUUAGUUAAAUCCAAAUUCAUUGAACUAUUUUCAAACUAUUUCACUUACCUUUGCUAUUUUUAGUCAAUAAAAUUCUUAUAUAUAUGGUUGGAAGCCAAUGCAACUUUUGGAUAAAAGCCAAAUUUAUCCUUUAAAAGAUAUAUUUUUUUUUGGAAGAUUCAAGAAUAUAAAAUAAAGAAAUAGGAUAUUAUCUAUAAGACUAGAUAUUAUACAUGAAUAUUCUAGUUUUUAAAUAUUUGUAAAAUUAAUAGUAAGGAUAUUGACAUGUAUCAACAAUCCAACGGCCACUAAACUCUAUAAAUAGGGGUAAGGGCUUUCAUUCUUGUAAUGAUGUAAGAAAGAAGUGUGUAUCAUAUUAUAAUUGUAUUGUGUAUUAAUAAGAGUGUUUUCUUCUUUUGUAAUUGUAAGUCUCAGUUAAACCUUAAGGGUUUGUUUGGUUGGGUGUAAUGGCUAAUCCAUUACACCCCGAAUCGGUGGCCCCACUGAAUACAGCGUUUGGUUCGUUGUUUUCUCUAAUACUGUUCUAAUCCGUUGCGGACGGAUUCCGCAUUUUGGCUGCUUCACCACUGAUUUGUAAUCCCUUGCAACAGCAAAGAUUAGCUAAUCGGUGUCUUAUUUACCCUCCCCUUGCCGAAAUCGCCUCCAGCCGACCCUCUCCCUCCCAACAUAAACAGAACGUGCCAACGAACCAAACCUCUACCCGCUCCCGAUUUCAGCUUUGCAUCCUUCUCCGACUCAAUGGUGUCAGAUCUCCGGACGGCUUGAAUCAGUAAUCUCUGCCAAACUUAUAACCUAUUUCUUUCCUCUUUGCAUGCGAUUGUUUCAGUCCUUGGUAAAUCGGCGUUUCGUUUCUUGCCGGUUAUGGUUUUUUUUUCAUUGUUUGUUUGUUUGUCCUGAAUUACAGGUUCUUUGCUCCAACAUUUUUCAUAUUCUGUCUGCUUUAUGUUUCUUUAUUUUGCUUACUGUCUUGGAUGAUUUUUCUUGACAGUCUUGUUAAUAUCAUUUUAUUUUGCUGCUGACUGUCUGCUUUAUGUUUCUUUCCAUAGGUUUAGUUGUUUGAUGAAAGUACUGGGGUUAACUGAUGCAUAAUCAAAUUUAGACGUUGCUUAAAUCACAAAUUUUAUUUAUUUGUUUGGUUUUCUUUCUUGAAAUUCAAUUCUUUUACUUGGUAACAAAUAGUGCAGCUUAGAAAGGAAUAUGAUUUGUUGAUGUUCUAUUUCUGUAGUGGUUUUUUGUUUCUCUAUUUUCUGUUUCUGUACCAUGUUUUGUUCCUUUUACCAUUUUUGCUUUUGUAGCUUAAUUUAUUAUCAAUGAUCAGCAUGUUCUCUUGUGUAGCCAUUUUAUUUAGCAUGUUUUGUUUCUCUAUCAUUUACACACUGUUGUUACUGAAAAUUAAAUCUAAAUUCAACCGAAUGACAUGGAAUUAUACAACAACUAACUUCAAAUAAAAACAUGAUUUUAAUCCAUUGUUAGAAGUUAAUAAUCCUUUUCCUCACUUAUAAACCAUGAACGCAUAUCAGUAGUGGGACAUUUGUAGAGAAAUUAAUAGAUCUGUUCCAACUGAUAUUCCUAGAGGUCUCAUAUUCUUGUUUGUGUUCCAACUUGUCAAGGAAAGGCUAGAUUUUGUAUUUCCAUUUAAAUAAUCUUCUUGACCUUAAUUUGUUUGUCAUUUGGCAUUGUGCAUUGUUAAAGGCUUGUUGUCAGUAUUUCAUAAUUUUCCUUAUAAUUUUCCCAUCCAUUAAUUUUUGGUUUUCUAUAAUUCUUUAAUAUUGUCUCAAGUUCCCAUCUGCAGUUUAAUAUAUUGAUUAUGUAAUCCACACAUCAUUAUCUAUCAAACUAAAGCAGUAGAGACAAGAUUGUGAAAUAUUAAAACUAGUCCAACCAGCUCAUGAUAUUGUUAUGAUGAAAGUACUUGCUGUGCAUUUUUCUUAGUCAUUUAAAUGAAUAAACUCAUUUAACAAUCUUGUGCUUUUCCAUGACAGAAAUAAGAAUAUUAUUUAUCUUUUGUAAUUAAAUUAUCUUUGAAAGGCUGUAUGAGAAUAUGUAUGUAAGCAAACUCUAAUUGCACUGGUAUUCCAUUUUCAUUUUUGUGAAAACAUGUUUAUUUUUCUAGUCAAAUGCCUAGAUGAUGGUUCUUGUCUUUAGAUUUCAAGGUUGUUAAAUCAGAAAACAACAUGCAUCUGUUAUUUAUUCAGACCGAACAUAAAUCGGUUAUGGUUUUUUUUUCAUUGUUUGUUUGUUUGUCCUGAAUUACAGGUUCUUUGUUGCUGCAGUUCAUCAUCGGUCUCCUCUCCGAUUUCCUCAUUACAGGUUAGUUUCCCCCCAUUGCUUGUGGCUAUACAAUUGUUUGCAAUGGCUAUAUAAUUUAUUUGCAGUGGCUCCAUCUGCUUGAUCAGUCAGAAAUGAAAACAAAGGACUAUGAAUGCUCAUGUCCUGUUUGGAUUUGUAUGCUUUUUGAUAUUUUUGUUGAAUAGAAACACUCUGAUAUUCUUUCAUGGCUACUGCAAUGUUGAAGUGCAUAUAAUGAGCUCUAGAAUGUCAUGCAUAGUCCUGGUGCUGUUAAUUUUGAAUGCUUUGAAAUGGCUUUGUUAAUUUGGUACUGUUAAUGCUUUGAUACAAAUGAAAUGGUGCAACUGUCGAAUAUUUAUGGUUAUAUGUCUACCUUAAAAGAUGUUUUAUAAAUUGUUUUCAUUCAUUAAAAAAACCAGGUUAUAAUUUAAAAAGGUGGUCAUAUGUUAUAUUCCUUUGUCCCCAAAACCAUUAAUGAGUACUAUAUAAUUUAAAAAGGGCAUCAAACUUUUGUACCAAUUCUUGUAUUAAAAAGGAAAUUCAUGGACAGAAUGUUGUUAUAAAAAGGAGCAAUAUAUAAUUUGGUACUUGUGUUUUUUCUUUUUUUAAUCUAUUGUUUGUAUUUGAUAAAUAUUUUGAUACUUAAAGAUAAUGGUGUACCAAUUCUUCGUUAUAAUUUAAAAAGGACAUCAAACUUUAGUACCAAUUCUUGUAUUAAUAUCAAUUAUGAUAAAAAUAUAACGAUUUUGAUACUUUCAAAGAUCUCGUUCAAAUUUAAUCAUUAUUAAAAUAAAUUGUGCUAACUUUAAGCUGAAAUAAAAAUUUUAUUUAUGUUAUUUAAGGUAUAUUAAAAUAUAAUUAAAAUCAUUUUGAUUAUAUAAUAUUUUUAAUUGAAAUAUAAUUAAAAUCAUUUUGAUUAUAUAAUAUUAAUAUAAAACUAUACAUUUAAAUUGAAAAUAUAAAUAAAACAUGGCAUAACAAUUAAAUUUUAAUAUUAAUAGAAAAAAUAUUUAUUAUUGAUAUUAAUAAUUCAAAAUUUUUUUCCAUAAUAUUUUUACCUGUGUGUUAUAAAUUAUUUAUUACUUAUGGAGUGUUUACCUCUUUAUUAUUAUUUGAUUACAAAAUAUUAUCAUUUUCUAUAUGUUAAACACAAUAUAUUAUUAAUUCAUUUUAUUUAUCUUUAAAAUAUUAAAUUUGUUAAUAGCUAUCAAUCAUUUAUGCAAAUUUUUACUAAUAAUUUUACUAAUUAAAAAUAAACACGUGCCAUCUUGAUUCUUUUAGAUUCAAGUUAUCCCCCAUAUAAUCCUAUCAACUCCCCCAAAAUUAAUAACCUAGUUGCUCGCAUUUUUAAUUUGUUUGUCUCUCAAUUAUUUUUAUAAAAUUUAAUUUGCAUCUUCAAUUCUUUGAUAGUGUGUUCUAAAUUAAUAUUGUUUAAUUUUUUUUAUAAAGUGUAAUUGCAACUUCAACUCUUUGAUAGUGUGUUCUAAUUUUAAUAUGUUGCAGUAAUGGCUCGUCUGCCUUUAAUUGCACAAAGUGUGAGGCGAAAAAGAAUUGGUAUUGCAUUGACAUUAUGGUUGGAACUCUGUAGAAUUGCGAUUUGGUUCUUAUUUAGAAUGGGUGCCAGCCUUAGCCUACAUACUUAUAGACCAAGGAUUAGGUCCUAUACCUUAGAUUUUUAUGCAAAACGGGAUUAUGUGAAAAGGCUUGUAUAUGCUAGUGACGAGACCUGUGUUUCACAAGUUAGGAUGAAUAGAACCGCCUUUUUUAAAUUAUGUGAGAUGUUAGAAUCAAUAGGGGGAUUGAAGUCGUCAAGAAACAUACUGGUUGAUGAGCAAGUAGCAAUGUUUUUACAUAUCAUCUCCCAUCACCUGAAAAAUCGAGUUAUCAAGCAUCACUUUAGAAGGUCCGGGGAAACUGUUAGCAGAGCAUUUCAUAGUGUUUUAAAUGCUGUCAUACGCUUACAAGAUGUCUUAUUUAAAAAGCUGGAGCCAAUUACAGCUGAUUCUUCUGACACAAGGUGGAAAUGGUUUAAGGUAUUAGACUGAGUUUUAUAUAUAGCUUGUACAACAUUUACUUGACUUAGAUUUAAGUUAGUAUUCUAACUCAAGGUUUUAUAUCAUGUGAUAUAGAAUUGCUUAGGUGCUCUUGAUGGAACCCACAUCAAGAUUAGGGUGCCAAAAAUAGAUAAAGCUAGAUAUCGAACCCGAAAAGGGGACAUAGCAACAAACAUGCUAGGUGUUUGUACACCUGAGAUGCAAUUUGUUUAUGUUCUUCCUGGUUGGGAAGGUUCAGUUGCCGAUGGACGGGUGCUUCGAGAUGCCAUUAGUAGAAGACAUAGACUAAAAGUUCCUCAUGGUACAGUGUAUAGUUAGAGGAAUUUGAAUUAUUCAUUUAGCCUACAUACUUUGUUUGCUGAAUUAAUCAUGUUGGGUAAAAUUUAUUUUAUAGGUUGUUAUUAUCUAGUUGAUGCUGGAUACACAAAUUCUGAGGGAUUUCUUGCACCAUUUAGAGGACAGCGAUAUCAUCUGAAGGACUGGCGUCAGGGUUAUCAGCCAAGUUCCCCGCAAGAGUUUUUUAAUAUGAAACAUGCCUCAGCACGUAAUGUCAUUGAAAGAUGCUUUGGCUUAUUAAAACUUAGAUGGGGAAUACUUAGGAGUCCAUCGUUUUAUCCUGUACGAGUGCACAAUAGAAUUAUUAUAGCAUGUUGUUUGCUACAUAAUUUUAUUCGAACUCAUAUGAGUAUUGAUCCCAUUGAAGCGGAGGUGGGAGAAGGAUUACCUACUAAUGUGGUGGAUGACGAUGAACAGAAUAUCACAAAUAUUCAUCCAUCGGAUGCUUGGGCUACUUGGAGGAUGGAACUAGCCACCCAAAUGUUCGAUGAAUGGCAAGCAUCUAGAAAUUAGUUAGGUUUAGGGACAAAUUGAGUUUGAAUUGAUUUGUUGAUGUUAUUUUAUGUAUCUAGUUUAUGAAACUUUGGUGGUCUUUGAUACAAAUUUUGUAUUGUACUAAACUUGGUUGAAUUAUAAUUUAAUUAUCUUUUCAUUCAGCAUGUGUUAUAAAUUUAAAUUUAGUAUUGAACUACCGAUAUAAUAUUAUAAACUGUUAACCUUUUGAUUCAUGAUAUUCAAAAUAGUAAAAUAAUGUUAAUUUGUUUUUUUUCUUAAGAACAAUAUGUCAGGUGUUCCACCAACGGGUGCUUCUUCUCAAGCUUCUCGAGGGAGCAAAAGAAAAUGGGUUCCAGAAGAGGAUGCAGCCUUGGUUUCUUGCAUGGUGGAUUUACACAAUGUAGAAGCAUUUAAUGCUGAUACCGGGUUCAAAGCCGGUUAUUUGAACGAGCUAGAGAAAAUGCUAGAAAAGGCUUUACCAACAGCAAUGUUGAAGGCGAAACCAAAUAUUGAAUCUCGGAUUAGGUGCCUAAAAAGGGAAUGGUCAGUCGUCUACGACAUGCUUAAUGGCCAAAACAACAGUGGUUUUGGUUGGGACGAGCAUAGGCAGCUCGUUGUUGCUGAAGAUGCAGUUUGGGAAUCCUAUGUAAAGGUAAAAUGUAUUUCAAGUAUUCAUUUGUUUUUUUACAAAACUUAUAACUAAUAUGAUUUCCUCAUUUUUUUAGAGUCACAAAGAAGCCUCUCAGUUCAGACAUCGUACUUUCCCUUACUACAACCAGCUUACUGCGAUAUACGCAAGAGAUCGGGCGACUGGGAAAGACGCUCAAACAACUGCUGAUGUUCUUGAAGAAAUACAUGCUGAGGAUGAACGUACUACAGAUAUGAAUGAAGAGAGAAACACAUUCUAUGACUGCGAAGCUGAGGUCUCUUUAGACGACAUGGAUGUUUCUGGUACAGAUCCGCGAGGAGAUAGAGACCAAGGGGGUUCCUCAUCUUCAAACAAGAGAAAGAAGAAAUCUGAUGCUCGUGAUAAUGUGUAUUCUUCAUUUGAGGAGGCUGCCACCUUAUUGGGGGAAAAAAUCCAGGCCGUUGGCGAUAAAAUCAGUAUGAGUAUUGCCUCCGAGGUGGUAGUUCAGCAGAAGUCAGAAUAAAAGAUGGAAGAGAAAGCUUCAAAUUUAUAUUCAGCCUUAUGGUCAAUUGAAGGUUUAACCGACGAUCAGCGGUAUAAUGCUUUGAGUAAAAUUCCCGAUCAUCCAACUCAAAUGAUCGUUUUCUUCAGUUUACCUUCUGUUGCCCGAUUGGAAUGGGUCAGAAGAUUUCUUUCUCACCAUUAAAUAUCAAUGUUCAAACUUUUUGAUGUUGUAAAACUAUAUAACAUAUGGAUUACGAUGUACAAUUUCAUUUUCAUCUAACUUUUUCUUAGUAUAAGUUAAUUAUAUUUAUGCAGAAUAUAAUUCUCAAAUUAUCUUGAUCUUAGUAAAUUCAUAAGAACAUUUUAUGAAAUUAUAUUUAAUAAUAAUUAUUUUAAAUUGUAUUUAAUCAUAUAUUUUAAUUAAAAUAUAUUUAAUAUUAAUUAUAGUAUCAUAUAUUAUGAUUUGAAUAAAUUAUAUAAGAAUAUGAAUUAUUAAGAAUUUUAUUAAAUUAUAUAUUUUAAUUAAAAUAUAUUUAAUAAUAUUUAUGUUAAUUUAUAUUUUACAGUAUCAUAUAUUAUGAUUUGAGUAAAUUAAUAUAAGAAUAUUAAUUAUUAAGAAUUUUAUUAAAUUAUAUAUUUUAAUUAAAAUAUAUUUAAUAAAAAUUAUGUUUAAAUAUGAUUAAAUUAUUUAUUACUGAUAAUAAUAAUCUUAUUAAAAUUUAAAUAACAAUAACAAUAAUCAUUUACCAAAACAAAUUUAUGCUAAUUAUAAGAAUUUUAUUAAAUUAUAUAUUUUAAUUAAAAUAUAUUUAAUAAUAAUUAUGUUUAAAUAUGAUUAAAAUAUUUAUUACUGAUAAUAAUAAUCUUAUUAAAAUUUAAAUAACAAUAACAAUAAUCAUUUACCAAAACAAUUUUAUGCUAAGGGUAUUCUAGUCAUUUUAGUUUUUUCCAGUAUGCUAUUACACCUCUAUUCCAUUCAACCAAACACAAGAUUACUAUUACGCCUCUAUUCCAUUACAUUCAACCAAACAGUGGAUUAGCUAUUACACCUCUAAUCCAAUACACCUCUAAUCCAAUACAGCGAACCAAACGCACCCUAAGUUUCUAAGCACUUAGUGCACUUGGAUUAGCUUUUAUAUAUAGUGCACUAAUAAGUUAAAAAACAAAAGAUUAACCGACUUCAGAAAUUUAGUGUAGCAUUAAUUGUAGGUCCGGCGAAAUAUCCUUAAAGACAGUAUCCAACACGUCUCUAGUUAUUCAACUUGUAUUUUUUAUUCUUUAAAUUGAAUAUUUACAAGAAUGCAUACCAACACUUUUAAUUCUUUGAUUUCUAUUCAUAUAUAUUUAUAUCAUCCAUAUUUAUUCAUACAUUCAAAGUUGGGAGAGCUGUUGUGAUUUCAUGAGCUUGGAGUCUUAAUUUAAUCCCGACAAAACCUUAACAAAUCAUCAGCAAAUGAGAUUCAGUUACAACCGAUUGGAUGAUCAAAGAAUAAAAAUUGUUUCUAUAGUUACGCAUCGUAUCGUGAAGAUUCGAGAAUCCUAAAGGAAUAAUUGAUAAGGGAUUAGAUUGUAAAGGGAUUAAUAGAGGAUGUGGGUAACAUGGAAGCAAACUUUGACAAGUGUCAGACUAUGCUAAGAACAUUAGUUGAUAAUUGAUUGUUAGAAAAUGUAGGAAAUGGAAGAGUGAAAAUGCAUGAUUUUGUAAUAGAUAUGGCUAAACUAAUCACCAAUGAGUUAUAUGAAUCAUGAAUUAUUAUUGCAACUUUAACCUAUGUAUAAUCAAGCUCCAACAUUUAUAAUUUUUUAUUAACUAAAAUGAUACAAUAAAUCAAAAACAAUCAAAACUUAAAAUAAUUCAAAUUUAAUAAAAAUCAAAAUUAAAAUUAACUUUGUUGAUAUGGUAAUGCAACGAGAAGACAUGGGGAAGGACAUGGUUGUGAUUAUGGAGGUUGGUUCAUCCAGUCGGGAUAGAGAGCCAAAUACUAUAGAGAGUGAGAAUGAAGAGAUAUGCAAACAAAGUGUUGAGGGGAACUUUUUUCAUCGUUCUUAGAAGUAUUUAUUGACGAGGUCCUGUAACAGCCCGAUUUUGGGUCUAGUCGGAACAGUGGUUUCAGGACCACAAAUCCGACGAGGAAAAAUGUAAUCGCCUGAAUUUUCAGGGGUGUCGGAACGGUGAUUCGAGAUCAUUGAAUCCGACAAAUAAGUAGAAAAUAUUAUUAAUUUAGUGAGUAUAAGUUAAAUGUGAAGUUAAAAAUUUUUUUGAAAUAGUGAAUAGUGCACUAGAAAUAAAUAUUAAAAUAAUUAGAAUAAAACACGAGGUAUCGAGACCUCAGAGAUUUUAAACCGAGCCAUAAAUAUUUAUAAAAAAUAUUUAUGGAGUGUUAAAAAGUUAGUAUUAAAGUUUCGUUAAAAAAUUUUAAAGUUUCGAUAAUUAAUUGAACAAAAAGAACUAAAUUGUAACAAAUGCAAAAUUAUGAGAAAUGAUUAAAUAGCUUAAAUGAUAAAAAGAAGAGGGUUUAAAAGGCAAAUAGACCCAAUGUCUAUUUGGGUUGGACGGCAAAGACAUGAAAUCAGCAAGAAAGUAAGGAGAAUUAAGAGCAAAAUUGGAAUAUUGCAAAAUUACUUAAUAAAGCUAGGAUCAAAGUAGAAUUAUGGAGAUUUCUCUUUAUUUUUCUGCAUUCUCAUCAGCUAAAACACCAUAGAAGGGUUUUCUUAAGCUGGUUUUUCAUAUUUUUACUGCAAGUUCAAUUCUUGAUUAUUUCUUGAAAUUUUUGUGUUUUGUGACUUUUACAACUAGGCCCACUUGUUGAAUUCAUUAGUUUUUAAUUUUAUGAAAGAAGUUGAAAGUUGCUAUGAAUAUGUGCUGGAAGUAUAUGAUGAUUUAGAAUGGAAUUAGAGCUAUCCUCAGAGCACUAGUAGAUAAUUGUUUGUUAGAAAAUGUAGGAAAUGAAAGAGUGAAAAUGCAUGAUCUUGUUAGAGAUAUGGCUAAACUUAUCACUCAUAAGUUGUAUGAAUCAUGAAUUAACAUUGCAACUUUAACACAUGUAUUGUUAAGCUCCAACAUUUAUAUUUUAGAUCAAUUAAGAUCAUACAAUAAAAAACAACCAAUCAAAACUUAAAAUAAUUCAAAUUUAAUAAAAAUAAAACCCAAAAUUAACUUUAUUGAUAUAGAAAUACAAUAAAGAGGAGAUAUGGGAAAGGACAUGGUGGUGAUUUUGGAGGUUGAUUUACCCAGUUGAGAGCGGAGAGCUAAGGACUACAAAGAGUGAGAUUGAAGAGUGUAUAUAGGCAAAAUGUUGAGGGUAAGUUGAUAGAGUAUAUGUUUGUAUGUUUGGAGAGUCAAUCAUUUCUUCAUCGUUCUUGGGGGUAUUUAUUGUAGGGGGUCUUGUGAAGGUUGUUAACAUGCUAAAUUUGCCAUCUAACCAUCAUUACGGAACGUGUGGGGAGAUGGGAUGAGAAUGCCUGUGAUGAGACAGAAUUUGUUAUUCAUUAUAAUACAAUAGUGCAGAGUAGUUGAGCUCACACGAGAGUUGGUAACCAACAAUAUCACGUUUUUACCAAAAGGUCAAGGGUUCAAAGCAAUGAGUAGUUCGUGUUUGUCUAGAUAGUUAGGACGAGAGAUGAAACUUGGGGCAGCCUUUGAAAUAUAAUAAAAAGCCAAAAACAAAAACAGGUUAAAAUGGUAAAAGGCUAAUCCAUCGCAGCUUCUUUCUCUCUACCUACUGACGAUAAGCAGCAAAUUUCAGAAUAUUAAACAUGACAUCAUAUGCAUACAAAACUUAUAUAAAUUUAAAAUUCUUAAACACAAUUACGAAGUCAUAAAAAUACAAACUGUCUUUUAAUUAAAUAUGGUAGGUGCAUUAAUUUAAAAUUCUUAAAGGAGUUGAUAUAUAGGGAGAUUGAUAAAUCAGUUUUUAUAAUAUCAUCAUUCAUUUUAUUAUUAACAAUUAAUAAGAUACUUUUAAUAAUUAUUUUUUAUUUUACAAACAAUAUUAAAAAAUUAAUAUAUUUUUAUUUUUAAAAUAUUUUAACAACUGUGUAACCAAUAAUUUCAUUACAUUUAAAUAAAAAUAUCUUUUUCCCAUUCUUGAAAGCUUCAAUCAAGACUUCGGCUUAGUUUGGACAGACGGUGUGUUAACCUCCGGUGAGUAGGGGUAAGCAUUCGAUCGAAUCGAAUCGAAUCGAAUAAAAAAUUUUCGAGUUAAUCGAGUUUUCGAAUCUCAUUUUAUCAUCCUAACUUUAUUUGAAGUUUUCUCGAAUCGAGUCGAGUGAGAUGUAAUUCAAAUCGAAUCGAAUCGAAUAUAUUUGUUCGAGUUAAAUUUUAAAAAAUAAUUUUGGAUCCUUGUAACCAUUGUCACCCAUCGUAAUAAAAUUUGUCCACCUUAAUCAAAUUUUUUAUUAACUUUCAUCACCUCAUAAUUUAUUUAUUAAUUUUUUAUAUACUGGUUAGCUUAUUUGUUUGCUUAGUUGUUUCAAUUAUCUUCGGAUUCUUGUCACUAUGUAUUUUGGAAUUAAAAAUAUGAUUUUUUAAUAAAAUUUAUUUUAAAAAUAAAAUUUGAAAUUGAUACCAAUAUAAAAUUUUAACACGAAUAUUUUAUGGCAUAAUUAAGAAUUCAAUUUUAAUAUAAAUAUUCAAUAUGACUAAACAAUUCAAUAAUAUAAAUAAUAUAAAAGUGAAAUUUAAUUUAAUAAUAUAAAUAGUAUAUAUAAAUAAAAUUAUUACUAUUUAUGUUUAGUGAUUUUUUUUAGAUAAUUUUGAUUUUUUAUUUGAGAGUAAAGGAUGAGAAGUAAAAGUUUAGGGGGAAAAUAAAAAGUUUUGGGGAAUAAAAGUUUGAGGGAAAGUAAAUAGGGGGAGUAAAAUUUUGGAGGGAAAAUAUUUAAAAAAAAAAUUGGAGGGGGGAGGGUUUGGGGUAGAUGGGAGGUGGGAGGUGGGAUGGGAAGAGAAUAAAAGUUUUAGGGGAAAAGUGGGAGGGAGUAAAAAUUUUGGGGGAAAAUAAAAGGUUUUGAGGGUUUUUGAGAGUAAAAUUUUGAAAAAAAAAAUGAAUGGAAGAGUAAAAUUUUGGUGGGAAAUGGAUUUUGGGUAGAUUGGGGGGUUGGGCGGGGAGGGGAGUAAAAGUUUUGGGGGAAAAGUGGGAAGGAGUAAAAGUUUUGAGGGAAAAGUAAAAAAGUUUGGGAGUUUAGGGUAAAACUGUAAAAUAUUAUAGUUUGAUAUUCGAAUUAUUCGAAUUAUUCGAGUUAUUCGAAUUCGAAAACUCAACUCGAUUCGAACUCGAAAUUCGAAAAAAAAAUUCGAGUUGAUUCGAAUAACUCGAUUCGUUCAACUCGAAAUUCGAAUUUUUUUUCGAUUUUUUCGAGUCGAAUCGAAUUUUGCUCACCCCUACCGGUGAGGUAAAAAACAGCGGUGGCGAUGAGAAUAGUUACUGUAGCAGUGAGAUUAGAAACAAUAGUGGAAUGUGUGUUUGGAUUCAAACACAGCUGUAGCGGUGAGGUGAGAAUAAAAAAUGACUAUUAAAGACAUCAGAUUAGAAUUGAUAUGUAAUAGAAGUUUUUAAAUUAUUUUACUUUUAUAAAAUUAUUAAAAUAUGUGAAUUUAUAAAUUAAUUUAAUAAAAUAUUAAAAUGUGUCUUCCAAUAUUUUAUUAUAAAUAUUUUAAUAAAUUAUAUAAUCAAUUUAAAAUAUUUAAUAGAUAAAAUGAUAAUUAUUUUUAAUUUUUUAUAGUUAAAUAUUCUUUUAUAACAAUAAUAAAUAUUAUUUUCACAAAUAAUAACAUUAUACUUGGAUCAAAUUUUGAUGUAUCUAAACGAAUAAUUUUUAAUAAAAAAAAUAGUAACAUAAGACAUAACAAGUUUUAUUAUUACUAGAAAUUAAGUUAUGAUACAAAAUGUUUUUAUAAACAUGAAUUCAUUAUACUAUAAUACAAAUACACUCCGAACUUAUAGUACUCAAAGUUGUUCUUUUGAAUGAAAUUGAUGAACACUUUAACAGCAGGAGAGGUCUCGAUGAAACCCUUGAAAAAACCUUUAAAUUAAAUUUUUUUACCAUGGUACUUAAACUUUUCUUUUAACCUAAAUUGAUACAUAAAAUUAUAUUUCUGUUAACCAAUUCAGUCCACCAAAAUUAGAGUAUACCACGUGACGCUUCAGUUCAAUUAGAAAACUCCACGUGACAUUCAUAAGUACUAAAAGGAAAAAAAUAGAUUUAUAAAUUCUAAAACUAAAUAAAAAUUUUAAAUUUAAAAAUAAUUUAUCAAAUAAAAAUCUAAUUAAAAAUUUUAGUAAGCUAUCAUUUUAUUUUGACUCAACAUUGAUUAUAGUUGGCCUAAUAGUAUUUUUAAGUUUUAUAUUAUUUUUAGUUUUCAAAAUUUAACUAUUUUUUUAAUUCUAAAAUUUUGAUUAUAUUUUUUUGGUUUUUUUAAAACAAAUAUUUAAACUAUAUAUAUAUAUAUAUAUAUAAGCUCUAGAAAUCUGAAAUAAUUUAAAAAAUAUUUGUUUCAAAAAGGCAAAAAAACAGUAUAAUAAUUUUUUAAAAAAAUUGGAAAAAUAGUUAAAUUAUGAUAACUGAAAAGAAUAUAAAAGUUUUUAGAAAAUUUUUAAAAAAUUAAAAAUAUUUUUCACACAAUAUAUAUAAAUCUUAAAAUAAUUUUCUAAUAUAAAACUUGAAAAUACUAUUAAGUCAAAAUCGAUCAAUCCCGGUCAAUUUCAUUUCAAAGUCAAAUGCUAAUUUUCAAAAAUUUCUAUUUUAUAAAUUAUUUUUAUAAUUUUUAUUUAUUAUUAAACUUUUUUAGAAUUUAGAAAUUUAUUUUUAUUUUUAAUAGAUAUAGAUGUCAUGUAACACUUAAUUUCUAAUUGGAUUAAAGUGCCAUGUGACACAAUUUAAUUUGGCCACAUUUCAAUAAUUUUUUUAACAGUGGUGGACUGAAUUAGUUAACAAAAUGUAACUUUAGGAAUCAAUUUGGCCAAAAAAAAAUUCAGGUACUAAUAUGAGAAAAAUGAUAUACUUUAGGAGACAAAUAACAUGAACCUUUAUAUUAGGGGUUAGAUUACAUUUUGUCCCCUCAACUCAAAAAUAGACAAAUUAGUCGCUAUAUGUUAGAUUAAUGAGUAAAUUGGACAUUUUGUUAAAUUUUACAUCAAUUUCUAUUGAUAAAAUCUAGUUCUUGUACAUCAUCAUGAGAUACAUAUGACACACCACAUGUAAUUGUUUAGUUAUUACAUUAACCCUAUCAGUUUUUAACAUAUAUAUCACAGUAUAGUACCCGAACUUGACAACUUGUACCUACUUGACACUUUUUUUUUUACCUAAUUGGUUCAUGAACUUGAAAACUGCAAAUUAACUUAAAUUUUUAGAUACUUGACUAAUAUUGCCAAAUUUAUCAUCUUCAAUCAAUUAGAUUAUGCCAUGUAUAUUAAAGAACCAAGUAUAUUAUGUCACGUGUACAAAAAAUAAUUUAAUUUAAAUUUUUUUAAUUGUUAUUAAUUAAAAUAAAAAAACUUCUAAUUAAUUAACUGAUAUUUUAUGUCUACUUCCGUUUCUUCUUCUUCUUCUCUAAGUUUCAACCAAAUCUCUAGUCCGCCCUCGUUCUCUGCGCCAACAUUGCCGGCUCUCAGUUUGGGUAGUUUGAAUCAAGGGACUCUCUUCUCCCCUUUUAUUAUUUUUUUCUUUUUAUUGAUUAUUGGCUAUAGGUUUAUUGAGUCUUUGGUUGAGUGGUGGGCGACGAGUUUGAGGCUUGUUUUAGGAGGGGUCAGGUGAGUCAGGGUCGAUAAUCGUGCAUGUCACAACUGUAUUUUAUUCGGAUUAAGCUCAAUUCGAAUUACGUGUUUUUUUUUUAAAUUUCUUAGUUAUUAAUUAUUAUUUAUGGGGGACGGUUUUACAAAGGGAAGUUGAGUAAGAGAAGAAGGGGGAUUAUCUCUAAAAGAGAAGUCUAAAGACUACAGCUCCAUUUCUUUCACCUCCAUUGAGUCUCAUACUCUAAUUACUUACAUACUACCAUCAAAACCCCACACAUUUCCUCAACCUUGACCGUUAACCCGUCCCUGGGUUUGAAACAGUGAAAGCAUUCAACUUUGGUUACUGGACAGUGAUGAUUCCAAGGAAGACCGGUUUCCAUCAUAUUUGUGACCAAACAAAGAGUCUGCAACUUUAUUAAGGAGAAGAAAAGGAAAAAUUGAAGAGGCCUUCCUUGACUCGUGAUAUUCAAAUCUCAAAGUACCAUUAGUCCCAUUUGCAUUAUUUUCAUCCUUUACCUUCACCAUCAUCUUAUUAUCAUCAUCAUUUUCUAUGUUGUUGAAUGUCAUUCUGAUGUUGAAAUAUUAUGGAAAAUUUACGUGUGUCAUGUAGUAUAUAUAUUUGGACUAUUUUGGUCGAAACAUUUUUUUAAAUAUUUAUAUUAUUUCAAUAGUUAUAGUUGAAAAUUUUUAAAUGAUUUAAAAGUUAUAGCACUUGAUUAUUAAUCAAGAGUUUUUACUAUUUAUAAUGAUGAGUUAUAUUUUUUAUUGUUAAAAGUGAUAUUAUUUAAUUAUAUUUAUUUAAAUAUGAAUAAUUAUAUUUAUUAUAAAAAGAUGUAAUUGUCUAUAAUUGGCAGUUAUAAAUUUACGAAGAGACACAAAAACUCUUAUCAUUCAUUUGUUUAAUAGAAUAAAAUAAGAAACAAAAAUUUCUUUUCAUUCUCUUCCAUCUUUUGCUAUUUUUAAAUUGUUGUAUAAAAAUUUAAUGUAAAAAAUCGUUAUAGAAAUCAUGCAUAAAAUAAUAAAAUCAUGCACGCACUAACACUUAUCAAAUUAACUUGUAUCAUUAUCAUUGACGUUUAGCACAAACCUGCAUAAAAUCAUGCUUUUUCUUCCUCAAGUGUAUUUGUAAAAUAUUUUUUAUAAAAUAAUAAGAUAUCCUUUUGACACGAUAAUACUAUUGGAAGUCAUUGUUAGGAUUCUGUAAAAACUUUAAAUAAUUAUUCAUUGUGAAAAAAAAAUAAGAUUUUUAAAAUCCAUUUAAGAAUGAUUGCCGAAUUCAAAUAUUUGAUCUACUAUAGUUAAAUCCUAAAAGUAACUCAAAUUUAAUAGAAAAAAUUCCCAAAAUAAACUUAAUUUCUUGAAAUGUAAAUUAGUCUAAUCCAAAUCAAAUGAGGUAAUUAUCGCAUAGCAAAUGUCAACAUUUUCAUGAUACAUCAAAUAGAAAAAGACAAUAUAUAGCACUUAACCCAACUUAAUAAAAUUAUGAAAAUUGUAGGUGAAUUUUGAUUAAGUGAAUGCAGGGAGAGAAAAUCCAUUUGAGUUGAGUGUCAUUUCUAGUAGUGUGUGAAAUCGUAUUAUUUGCAACUUGUAAGUAAGGUGGUUUAUUUCAUCUCCUAACAAGUUAAUUCAAAGAAGUAUUUAUUAAAUUUCACAUUUUUAAAUUUUGCGGUGACUGUCUAUUUUUAUCCAUAUAUAUAAUCCCCAAACAUGUGUUCUAAAACUAGUUCACACCUAUUAGGCACAUGAAACUGUGGAAGAGUAAAAGAAUAAAAAUUGGACUUAUUCAACGGUUGAGUAAUUCGUUCGGUCCGAUAAGUUCGACUUAACUUUGGUAAUCAACUCAAAACUUUUAAAAUUCUAAUUAACUUAAAGUAUUUUGGCACUAAUUACGGCUAUAAUUGGAUGAAGGAUAUUUGCAAUAUUAUCACAUUAUGCACCUACAAAUAUAUGAUUCUAUUAAGAACGUUAACUUUGUCAACUCCGGGGUGAUUAAGUUAGAAAUAUAUAAUAAUAAAAUCAAUAGAAAACAAGCAAAAUGUCAAACAACCACAUUUUGAAAGUUUGAAAUUUAAUUUUCAACUAGAAUAUUCUAGGAUUUGCUUCUUCAAUUACAAGACCAUCACUAGUUUUUCUUUAAGUCACAUAGUUGUAUUUCUUUCCUUAUUCCAGUUCUUGAUUCGGUAUAUCUUUGCUAUAUAUUGUAUAUUUAUGAUAUCGUAGCCGCUUCUGUAGCUUAUUUCUGCGGUGUUCAUUUUAUAUUCAAAGCCAAUCAAUUCUUGGUCUCCGGUAUGUUUCACUUCAGCCUUUACUAAUAGGGAUUGGUAAUUUGAAGAUAGAAUUCUGAUGAUGGUUGGAUUGAUCUCUGUGAGGAUUCUUUGUUAAAUGGAUUCAGAAUGAGUGCAGGAUAUUGAAAUUAUUUCAUACAAGUAUUUUUAAUUUUCUUUAACAUCUAUAAUUUACAAUAUAGAAAAGAGAUUGCCAUUUUACUCGUGAGUGAAAGGCUUUUUAAUUAUGCCCCUCAAUUAUUGCUUUCAUUUCAUUAAUCGUUAGAUGAGAGCUUUUCUUGAUUUACAUGUCUCUAUAGAACCCACAUAUUUAAUAUCUUGUUAAAAAAUUUGUGGAAUCCAUGUAUGCACAGAAAUUUAGACCUGACAAUGCAUUCUUAGUUUCUAACAUAUUGCAUGUUAUGCAGCAUUCCUGACUGAGAGCUAUGGAUUAUUUUCUGAAUAAGAUUGAUAAACACUUGGACAAUCACAGAAGCCUCGAUCAGAAUAAGAAUGAGCUUAAAAGGAAAUUAAAUGAUUUGAACGGUCUGAAGGAAGACAUAGAAUCUAGACUGAGCUCAGAGCUGCAGCCAACAAAGAAACUAAAGAAAGGGGUCCAAAUAUGGUUGGAAAAUGUUGAAAGAAUCAAUGGCGAAAUACAAAGCCUUGAUGGAAGAAUCGGAGAAAGCAGUGCUCUUACACGUGGUUUCCACGCAAAAGAUGUGUUAAUGAGGAUGAAGGAAGUUGAAGAACAUAUUCAACAAGGCAAAUUUUGUGAAGGUUUGGUGGUUGACAAUCCUCGACGGAUUGGACAAGUUUUAUCGACUUCAACUCUAUCAGGUGAAGCUACGAAGUUAUGCAUCGAAGAAAUUUGGCAGUGCUUGAUGAAUGAUGAGGUUCGAAAAAUUGGAGUUUGGGGGAUGGGAGGAGUAGGGAAAACAAGCAUUAUGAAGCAUAUAAACAAUCGACUCUUGAAAGAGACCCACAAGUUCGAUGUUGUGAUUUGGAUCACUGUAUCAAAGGAGAUGAGUCUUGCUAAACUGCAGAAAGACCUUGCAAGUAAACUUGAUGUAAAAUUUUCUGGCAAUGAAUGUGAAACAACAAGGGCAGGGAUGUUGUUUGAAACAUUGUCUUUCAAGUUCAGUAGGUUUGUGAUCAUCUUGGACGAUGUAUGGGAGAAGGUUUCCUUUGAGCAGGUAGGAAUCCCUGAGUCAUCUAAUGGGAGUAAAUUAGUGUUAACAACGCGAUCACUUGAUGUGUGUCGACAUGUGGGUUGUAAUAGAGUAAUUCAAAUAAAGCCUCUUGCUGAAGAAGAGGCAUGGAACUUGUUCUUGGAGAUUGUAGGUGGGAAUAUUCUAAAUAUUCCAGGAUUGGAACCAGUUGCAAAAUCAAUAACUAAGCAUUGUGCGGGUUUGCCCUUGGGAGUAAUAGUUGUAGCUGCUUGUAUGAAGGGACUUGAUGACCUUUUUGAAUGGAGGAAUGCGCUAAAGGAACUAAGUUUAGCAAGACAAAGUGUUAAUGGAUUGGAAGAUGAGGUGAUCCAACAAUUGCGAUUUAGUUAUGAUCGUUUAAAGGAUCAAAAACUUCAACACUGUUUCCUCAACUGUGCCUUAUAUCCUGCAGAUUUUGCAAUCAGAGAGAUAGAUCUUGUUCAUCUUUGGAUUGCAGAAGGGCUUGUCGAAGAAAUGAACAGUAGGCAAGCAGAGUAUGACAAGGGUUGUGCAAUAAUGAAUAGACUCAUAAACAACUGUUUGUUAGAAGUUCCUACGGAAACAGAAAAUGGAAGAUGUGUAAAGAUGCAUGAUCUUGUAAGGGACAUGGCAUUACAUAUCACAUGUGGAACACCUCGAUUCUUGGUAAAAGCUGGCAUGAGAUAAACGGAGCCACCAGAUAUACAAGAAUGGAGAAAGGACCUAGAAAAAGUUUCAUUGAUGGAGAAUUGGGGGUUACAGCUUCCCUAUCCUUUGGAAAUAUUGCCACCAAAGUGUCCGAUGCUCACAACACUAUUGUUUUCUGGUUGUAAUAUACAAAGCAUUCCAGAAGGCUUCUUCAAGCAUAUGCACGGACUCAAGAUUCUUGAUCUUUCUGCAAAUCCUAUCAAGAAUCUCCCAGAUUCCAUUGCUAAUUUGAAGAACCUCACGGCGCUAUUGCUUCGUCAUUGUCGAAGUUUAGAGAAGGUGCCAUCAUUGUCAAAACUUAAAGUCUUGAAGGAGUUGAAUCUUGAAGCAACAAGUAUCAAGGAAAUCCCUUGUGGGAUGGAAAACUUGUUGAAACUCAAUUACCUGAAUUUGAAUGGUAUAGGAGACCUAUAUGAGAUUCCUGAUCGAGCAUUAUCAAAACUUUCUUGCCUUCAAGACUUGAUUGUUGGUGAAACAGUGAUAAGUGGAGAAGAUGUUGGUGGAUUGAAGAAACUGGAAAUUCUUAAAGGGAGGUUUUUCGACUUGCACAACUUAAAUGCGUAUGUCCAAGCUUUACAUGGUCGAGAAGAACCUCUUGAAUACAUCAUCCGCGUGGGUGAGCGAGGAUGGGUGGAGCAAAUUAAUACAAGAAAGUACAUAGAGUUAUGUGGUUGUAAUAUCUAUACCAAUCAGAUUAUACUUCCACAUGUUGAGGAGUUAUACAUUAAGGAGUGCAAUCUCAAUUGUAGCGAAGGGUAUCCUCUUUUCUCCAGGUUUAUUCUAAUCUCACUUAGCACAUUCUCCUCUCUUAAAUUUCUUGAUAUAUAUAAUUGUAAAAGCAUAAAAAAAUUGUUCUCUCCAAAUUGCUUGCCGCUAAAUUUACAAGAGCUUAGCGCAUCGGAGUGUAACAUGCUAGAGGAAAUAAUAGCAAUAGAACUUGGAUGGAAUCAAAGUGAAAAGGCUACUAUGGAGUUUCAUUUACCACAAUUAAGGUUAUUUUCACUAUGGAAUCUACCAAAGUUGAAGAGUAUUUGCAGUGUUAAUGGAGUAAUCGUUUGUGAUUCACUUGAAAUAAUUGAGGUAAGAAAUUGUCCGAAAUUAAAAAGAAUGCCUCUUAAUCUUUCCCAACUUGAUAAUAUUAGACUUCAACCAUCUGGCCCUCUCUCUCCUCUUAUUUGUAUAAAGCCAGAAGAGUGGUGGGAAUCCGUGGAAUGGGAUCAUCCAAAUGCCAAAUCUAUUUUAGAGCCCUUGUUGAGGUCUUGCUGGUAGUGUUGAAUUUACAUUUAACUCCAAUGAUUUUUUUUUUUCAAUUAACUUCUAAUUGCUAUUUGUAUUCUAAAUUUUGUACAAGUGGAAUAGAAAUUCCUCACUUUGGAAUUAUGGAAAAACCAACUGAAACUUUUACUUGUUCAAAGCCGAAACAUGGUUAUAAUUUCUUUCAUGAAAACUAUUACGUGAAUUCAUGUUUUUAGUGGUGGAGCUUUAUAUAAAUUUAUGUUAUGACUGAAUAAUUGUAGGAUUGUAUUAAACUAUUUCGAAGCUGGAAGCAGCAUAUUGCGGGUUAACGUGCAGCAAAUGUGUAACAUUUUAGCAGUUAAGGUGUGAUUGUUUUAAGUUAAAUUGAAUCUAAGUUAAUUAAAGAUGUAAUUGAGUUGAGCCUAAAUGUUGAAACAGUGAAAAAACUAAUUUUAAAUUUUAUUAGAAUUGAAUUUGAUUAAGUUUUAUUUUUAUAAUGUGAAAAGAUGUUGAUUUAGUAAAGAACUAAUUGAAGCAUAGAAAAAAAUAUGACUGAAGGGAUAAUUUAAUUCAUUAACAAAGUAGCCCUUAUAUAAGUGUCAAGUAACAACUUCAACAAAAAAUUCAAAUUGCUACUCCUACUAACAAGCUAACAAAAUCAACUUAGGACUUAGUCUUUUUUUUGAAAAAAAAAAUAGAUGCAACCUUGAGACACCAACAUUCUUCUCGUAACUCAAGUGUUGCAAACACCAAGUUUAUUCUUAAGAAACUCAAAUCGACUAACAUGAAAAAUUUACUGAAAAUAUCUGUCAUCUGAUCCUCUGAUUUGCAAUAAACUAAUAUCUUCAAUAUUCGCCUUCUAUGAAUUCCUUCUCAACUAGUGUAGCUUCAAGAGUUGCCUCCAAUUGUUUCCUAGCGUGCAACUCCAUUUGCAUCAAAAUUUCCAUAAUUCAAAAUCAUCACAAGCUGUUCUAGAAAAGUCAUGAGAGUGGUUAGAGUGCCACUCUUCUUCCAAGUUCUUGUGUUGUCACUAUACUUGAGAUUAAUACCAUUUAUAGUUUGAUUAACAAAUCUUCUCACAGUUAAUAAUUCUUUUUUCAAUUUUGCAUUUUGCACUGAAAGCUGGAUCAGCUUAACAACUAAAUUCUUAAACUCAACAACAUCUACAGAUGUCAAUUCUUUCGCAUAUGAAGCUUCUUCAGUCAGCUUUUGAUUUUGGAAACCUAACCCACUAUUCUCUUCUGAAAGUUGCACAUUACUCUUGAUUUCCUGAGAUAGAAUUUUUUUUUCCGUAGCUAAUCAACAGGUUCUUCAAAUAUUUCUUGUGCAAAAGAUGAUAGUUUAUCAUCAGAGAGAGAUGUCAACUGCUGCCCCAAGAGAUUUACCUUUGUCUACAACUCCUCAUUCUCAAAACACUUGAUUUGCAGUUGUUCUUGAAGAAUACGAUUCUCUGCCAAUUUUAUUUGAAGCUCAAAGCUUUUUUUAUUACAUUGUGUCAUCAAUUUUAUAAUUGUUUGUUGCAUUGAUGUCAUUUUUUCCUGACAAUUGGAUGCCACUUGCUCCUCCUCAAGUGGAUUCAAUGAGAAACUUUUCUUCUGCAUCUUGAUCCUAAACAAUUCAUUGCCACUAGAGUCAAGGAUCAGGCCCUUCCCUCUUCGACUUUAAUGACCUGUCAAGGUCUUUAAACAGCUUCUCAUCGUAAGACAUGUGAUUGGUACAACCACUAUCAACUAACCAACUGUCACAUAGAGUGCUUGAUGAGAAGCAAGAGACAACAAACAAAUGGUCUUCUUCUUCUUUAACUGCAACAUGUGCUCCACCUUGCUUCUGAUUUCCCAGUUCCUUGCAGAACCUCUCAAUGUGCCCCAUCAAGUUGCACCUUUUGCAUUUCACAUCUGGCCUUCUCCAACACCUGAAAUGGGGAUGAUUCUAUUUUCCACAAUACUUACAUGAAGAAUACUUAUUAUAAUUUUCAGUACUAUUACCUUUUGCAAUAGUUUCUAAACCACUAUUGCAAUCACUCUUCUUCUCAUUCCACUUCUAUUCCUCUCCUUUUUCGCCUUGCUGCAUCUUAGCCUUCAAUGCUUCUUUCUAUGCUUCCUUCGUGCCUCAUAAGCCUCUUUUGCUCUUGUGCUUGUAAAACACUGAUCAACUCCACUACUCUCAACUGAGUCAAGUUCUUAGUGUUCUCCAAAGAGGCAAUUGUUGCUUCAUAUUUCUCAUAGACACGUAUUUUCUGCAAGAUAUUUCUUUUUCUUUUUCUUUUUGAAAGGUACUUAGAUGGCGUAUCAAUAAGAACUUUUUGAGUACUUUAAAUCGUAAUCUAUUUUUUUAGACACUAAACUUUAAAUUAACUUUUAAAGAGCCCACUUUUAAAACAAAAAAAGCUAUGAAAUAUUGAUACCUACGCAACAACCCUUUGAAAUAUAAUAAAAAGGCAAAACAAAAACAGGUUAAAAUGGUAAAAGGCUAAUCCUUCGCAGCUUCUUUCUCUCUACCUACUGGCGAUAAGCAGCAAAUUUCAGUAUAUUAAACAUGUUAUAUAAAUUUAAAACUCUUAAACACAGUUACGAAGUCAUAAAAAUACAAACAGUCUUUUAAUUAAAUAUGGUAGGUGCAUUAAUUAAAUCUCAAUGGCCACCGAAGUUGACUUAAAGGAGUUGAUAUAUAGGAUUGAUAAAUCAGUUUUUAUAAUAUCAUCAUUCAUUUUAUUAUUAAAAAUUAAUAAGAUACUUUCUAAAAUUAUUGUUUAUAUAUUUUUAUAUUAGACAUAUUGAUAAUUUAUUUUUUAUUUUACAAACUAAAUUAAAAAAUUAAUAUAUUUUUAUUUUUUAAAUAUUUUAACAACAGUGUAACCAAUAAUUUCAUUACAUUUAAAUAAAUAUAUAUUUUCCCCAUCCUUGAAAGCUUCAAUCAAGACUUCAUAAAAGACCAGGCCCCCUUGUUAGUUUACAAAAAAAGGGAGCUUCGGAAAUGGAAGUGGAGUCUGUCUUGCUUGCUUUGCUGUUGAUAAAUGCCCUUACGUUUUCGCAGCUUAAUCUGGCAGUUGAGGCGGCUGAGUCUGUUCCUCUAUCACCAUCGGAUGAUUUCUCGAAAGAGUUGAAAGCUUUAUCUAGGAGGAGUCGGCGAAUAACUCCACCAUCACCCAGGAUUAAUGCUCCUGUUCACUUCAAAAGCCCUCCUCCAUCACCUCGACCUCCUCCGCCGCCACGGUCACCACCACCUCCAUGUCUGUGGCGUCCACCUACUGCGUUUGGAUAAGACGAUUGUUUCCCAGGUUACACACAGUUGAUGAAGCUCUCAUGUCAUCAGCUUUUGUUUGUAAAUUGUAAAACUUUAAAGUGCUUGUAUGUUAGCAGCAAAUACCAACUUUGUUUAGCUCUGAUAAUAAUUAAAUUUGUAAUGAUAAAAAUAAUAAUAUGUUAAAUAUAAAAAUGAAUAAAUGUAUGCAUCACUUUCACUUAAACACUCUUUAAGAAAUUGUUUAAUAAGUAUCCCUUGUCUUCCCUUCCCAUCUCUUUGAAGUCUCCCGACCAUCUCUAUAUGUAGCAUAAAUGAUGAGCAGCCCUCCAUCAACGAGGACCCGGGUCCUCAAAGGCCAACUCAAAAAAGCAUCUCAAUCUAAGAGAGGAGGGUAGCCUUUUCAGUGCAGUGCUUUCAGGGUUGAAUGAGCAUCGAGGUCUUUCGAGAUUGGGGUUUUCUCGUAGGAAAAAAAUGAAAAAAUCAUCUUGAUAAUAGUCCUUUUAUAGAUCGGGUGGACAAAGGAAUAGCAAGCCUUUGGAAGGAAGAAAAAGCUAACAUAUGGACGAAGAUCGGGUGAAUGAGAUAAUUCCCAGAUUCAUUUCAAAAACCUCGAGAUUAGCCUUGGCCGAACACAGGUAAACCGUCCAGACCCCACUCAAACCAUAGUCCCCUCAAAGGCCAACUCAAAAACAACAAUCUCUACGUCUAUGGAGCCUGGACUGCAGAAACUGAGAAACCUCCAAUUCCAAGCUCCCUGGUUCGGUGCAACUUGGACUUUCUGGGAAGGGCAUUAAAUACCCAACCAACAUAUUUAUUUUGGCCACUUCACUCUAGAGGGAUCAUGGGCCGAGUUUGUGCCGGGUUCAGAUAAAAUUUUAGGCCCGUUUUAUUAGCCCGGAUCUGACUCGGUCUGGCCCAAAAUAUAGAUAUAAAAAUUUAUUUAAACUUGGCCCGAAAAAAUUAUUAAGCCG